UGGGUCUGUAGACUCUGUACCCAUUUUGAGUGUUUCGUAUGAAACAUUGAAACCGUUCUGAACGGUAACUCACUUCGUUUGAAACAUUGAAUUUCACUUGUAAUGAAUCUCUCUCUCUCUCUCUCUCUCUGUUUAACUUUUUGCUCCAAAAGUGUUUGUGAAAAAAUAUGUCACAAAUAGCAUUUGAUCUCUGUGUAGACUAACUGUUUGUAAAAAUGCUGCAAUGAAAAUGAACUUUGUGCCGAAAAGCUGGACUAAAUGCAUUAAAAAAAAAAGAGUUUAUUGCUUCGCAUUUUGGAAGUAAAAAUAUUAUUGCCCAUGUUGUUCAUUUUUGUAAUGUUAAUUUUGCUUAAAACGUAUUUCCCAGAGUGACAAAUAAAAGGUUUUGUUUUUUGUUGUUGAGGGGUCUGGUUGAUUAAUGAGGUACGUGAAGCCGUUGAACUUGUUCCAUGAUUUGCUCACGUCAAAAGCAGUAAAACGGGGUCGUUUGCUUGGUCUGGAUGUUGGUGAUAAGUAUGUUGGACUUGCUGUUUCAGACACUCACAAUAAGAUAGCUUCACCUCUAAGUGUUCUGCUAAGGAAGAAAUCAAAUAUAGAUCUAAUGGUUAGUGACUUUCAAAGUCUGAUCUCUGAACUUUCUCUGGUGGGCUUUGUUGUUGGCUGCCCUUUCGACAGACGAAGAAGUGCUCCUGAUGCAGUGCAAGUGAAGCUUUUCAUUGAUGAUCUCUGUAAAACGGGGAAACUCAAAGGUUUAAACUACACGUAUUGGGAUGAGAGUUUUACAUCUAAGAAUGUGGAAUUACUGUUAAAGCCUUUGAAUUUACAUCCAGUCCAGUCAAAGACAAUAAUUGACAAGUUUGCUGCUGUGGAAAUACUCCAGGGAAUAUUCAUUCUUCUAUGCAUUCCACCAAAAAAUCAAAUGGUUCACUGUGCUUUACAUAUUUAACACGGAAUUCAUCAAUGUAAAAUGCAAUGGACUCCAAUUGUUAUAUUAAGCACAAUGUACUCAUCCAUGUGCUAUCAGACAACAAACUGGGAUACCUGGAUUAUGUUAACAGGAAGAUGAAGUUGGAAGCAGCAGAGUAAGAUGUCUCUAAAUGGAUGUAAGUUGCUUGUUAUUCAUGUACAUAACAGGACUGUUUAAUGAAUGUCGUACUCACAAGUCACAACAUAGAUGUACUGCUGUUUUUGAGUUUCACAAUUCUCUUAGCUUUGCAUUAUAAUUUUUCGAACUAUU